rnacentral:rRNA from 1 species
GACAGAGGGUGCAACGUUGUUCGGAAUUACUGGGCGUAAAGCGCGUGUAGGCGGCUAAGUAAGUCGGGCGUGAAAUCCCACGGCUCAACCGUGGAAGUGCACUCGAAACUGCAUAGCUAGAGUCCUGGAGAGGAAGGUGGAAUGCUUGGUGUAGAGGUGAAAUUCGUAGAUAUCGAGCGGAACACCGGUGGCGAAGGCGGCCUUCUGGACAGUCGACUGACGCUGAGACGGCGAAAGCGAUGGGGA